rnacentral:rRNA from 1 species
GAUGAACGCUGGCGGCGUGCUUAACACAUGCAAGUCGAACGAAGCAUUUAAGACAGAUUACUUCGGUUUGAAGUCUUUUAUGACUGAGUGGCGGACGGGUGAGUAACGCGUGGGUAACCUGCCUCAUACAGGGGGAUAGCAGCUGGAAACGGCUGGUAAUACCGCAUAAGCGCACAGUACCACAUGGUACAGUGUGAAAAACUCCGGUGGUAUGAGAUGGACCCGCGUCUGAUUAGCUUGUUGGCGGGGUAACGGCCCACCAAGGCGACGAUCAGUAGCCGACCUGGGAGGGUGACCUGCCACAUUGGGACUGAGACACGGCCCAGACUCCUACGGGAGGCAGCAGUGGGGAAUAUUGCACAAUGGAGGAAACUCGGAUGCAGCGACGCCGCGUGAGUGAAGAAGUAGUUCGCUAUGUAAAGCUCUAUCAGCAGAGAAGAUAGUGACGGUACCUGACUAAGAAGCUCCGGCUAAAUACGUG